rnacentral:rRNA from 1 species
UGCAAGUCGAACGGAUUUUUAUCAUAGCUUGCUAUGAUAAAAAUUAGUGGCAGACGGGUGAGUAAUGCAUAGGAAUCUACCUAGUAGUAUGGGAUAGCCACUAGAAAUGGUGGGUAAUACUGUAUAAUCCCUGCGGGGGAAAGAUUUAUCGCUAUUAGAUGAGCCUAUGUUAGAUUAGCUAGUUGGUAGGGUAAAGGCCUACCAAGGCAGUGAUCUAUAGCUGGUCUGAGAGGAUGAUCAGCCACACUGGAACUGAGAUACGGUCCAGACUCCUACGGGAGGCAGCAGUGGGGAAUAUUGGACAAUGGGCGCAAGCCUGAUCCAGCUAUGCCGCGUGAGUGAGGAAGGCCUUAGGGUUGUAAA